rnacentral:rRNA from 1 species
UACGGAGGAUGCAAGCGUUAUCCGGAAUUAUUGGGCGUAAAGCGUCCGCAGGUGGCUGUUCAAGUCUGCUGUCAAAGCGCAGAGCUUAACUCUGUACAGGCGGUGGAAACUGAAGAGCUAGAGUAUGGUAGGGGUAGAGGGAAUUCCCGGUGUAGCGGUGAAAUGCGUAGAUAUCGGGAAGAACACCAGUGGCGAAAGCGCUCAACUGGGCCAUAACUGACACUGAGGGACGAAAGCUAGGGGAGCGAACCGG